UAUGUUUAUUCACCUGGAAAGCAGAAACUGUUGCUAACUGGAGCAGAAAAGUAAUUUCCAUUUGGAUGUGGCAAGAGAAGACUGAAGCAUCAAGAAGAACCCUCAUGUAAAAGAGACAGGGUCACCUUUGCCUGGGAGACCUGUGCAUGAACUUUUCUCAACAGGACUGCUUUCCAUGGACCAUCGACGUACUUAAUUUUACAAGACCUUCCAGGAUGUUGGUUGCUGGCCCUGCUAUUGAACUGAGCCCACGACCUGCCUU